rnacentral:rRNA from 1 species
AUGAGCUAUGGCCAGAGUGUCGCCGCCGGAUGCCCGGCCGGAGAUGAGAAGAAGACGUCAUGGUCGGAGUUAGUGGGGAAGUCUAUCGUAGAGGCCAGAGAGAUCAUCCUCAAGGACAUGCCUGAUGCGGACUGCGGUAACGGAGGACUUGAGGAGCAACCGUGUCCGCAUCUUCGUCGACACUGUCGCGACCACACCUCACAUUGGCUAGCUAGCUAG